CGUUAAGUUAUUUCUGAAAAUUAAAACCCUUCCCACUCUGCUGAAAGAAGCAAUCCAAGUAUCCAACGAUGGCUCUCUCACCCUCUCUGCCUCUCUCGUAGACUCCAUAACUCCAUCUCUCUCUUCUUCAUCCAAACCCACAAUUUCAGAGUGAGAGAGAUCUGAGCUGGGAAGCCUGGGAUUGGGUUCUGAAGUGCUUAUUGGGAUUUGGGUGGAAACAAGGUAGUGAAGAAAAAGAGCGUGCUGAAUUGGAGGAUCUUACUGAAAAAGGGGGUCACUGAUGGAGCAGACGCCAACGCUUCUCCCAUCUCUCAAGUCUAUGUUCAGAAUUGGAAACAUUUCCAGAAGGGGAAUUGUCGAGAAUCACUUUACAUCUUCCAUGUUCCAAAAGGUCGGAGUCAUGGAAAACACGGGUUUCUAAAUUCUAAACCUAAGUACCUAACUCUAUGGUAUCACUGGGGAUUUCAGAAUACCAUGAGCUCCAUUGUGUGAUACUCCAUUCCACUUGUUUUAUAUAAAAGCUCUAGGAACAAAAAGUUUGCAGAUUUAUUUCCUAGAUCUCUUGAGUACUAUGUGAACCUUCUCCAAGAAAUCUAUCUUGAGUAAAACGAUUCUGUUGUCAGAUUAAGUUGUUGAACAUUUCACAUAAUAGUAUGGAAUCCAUUAUCCUUCUUUGUA